CUGUGCCCGACACUCUUUCCCUGUUGCACUACUGUGGGAGCUGUAGCUAGCAGUGCAAUAAUGAAAGGGCAUCGGUCAGCUG
rfam:Salmo salar isolate Sally breed double haploid chromosome ssa24, whole genome shotgun sequence.